rnacentral:lncRNA from 1 species
CUCGAGCCUCCUGAGGAGAGGGGAGGAGGCGGCGGAAGAGGGAGGGACGGGCGCUGUGAAGAUGAGUGGCAUUCUACAUGUACAUCCUGGU